UUGGAGGUGCAGCAGUAUCUUGGAAAUCCUCAAAACAAACGUGUAUUGCUAGGUCUACAAUGGAAUCAGAAUUCAUUGCGUUAGACAAAGUUGGAGAAGAAGCUGAAUGGCGUCGUAAUUUUUUAGAGGAUAUUCCAAAUUGGUCAAGACCUGUGCCAGCUAUAUGUAUACACUGUGAUAGCCAAUCAGCGAUUGGAAGAGCACAGAGUCAUUUAUAUAACGGUAAGUCACGUCAUAUACGAUGAAGACAUAAUACCGUUAGACAAUUGCUCUCAAAUAGAAUUAUCUCAAUUGACUAUGUAAAGUCAAAAGAUAAUAUUGCAGAUCCGCUUACGAAAGGUUUAACAAGAGAGCAAGUGGAAAAAUCAUCGAGGGGAAUGGGUUUAAAGCCUACUGUUUAAAUAAGAGUCGUCAUAGUGGCAACCCAACUUAGCUGACUGGAGAUCCCAAGAUCUAGGUUCAAUGGGCAAACCGAACUAUGUAUUACUCAUUAAAGCACUGAGGAGAUAUUUACUCUUAACCAUUCCUAAGAUGAGACAGUGUACAUCUGCCGCGAGAAUCAGGAUAAGAUACGCUUUUAAUGAUUUCUAUAUCUUGAAAUAUGUUCAAGUGGGGUAUUGCAGGAUACUCUUGAUAGAAGUCACCUACGUGAGUAAGAAGGGGGCCACUUCUGUGAGAAUUUUGAAGGCUGAAUUCUCUAAUAUACUUACGGAACCAAGAGGUGUUUCAAGGCCAAAAUGAACACAAACGUGAGAACCAACUAUGUCUGAAGAGAUAUUUUGUGAAUUCUAUUAUCUUGGUUUACACAAAAAACUGACAAUUCAAAGACAUCAAGUCUACUGAUUAGCCGAGUAAAUCCGAUAGAUUUUACUAGGGCAAGUUCAAAGCCACUAGGCUACUUAACCUGAUGAAAUAUCUUUUCUCAUGUACUCGAACUAGUGUCUGCAUAUUCAUAUCAUAUUUUGUAUAUUGUAAAGCCAAUUUUACAUUCAUGUAGGGGAUUGUUGGAAAUGGGUUUGAUAAAAUAUAUAUUUAUGUGUUCAAAUCCAUUAAGAAUUGAAUGAGAAAAUUGAUGGGCCGGGCCGGAUCGGAUUCGGGUCGGGUCAUGAUAUAUAUAUCUUUUUGGACAAAAUUUGUUUAAUUAAUUAUCAUAUUUUUUUUUAUUAAGUUAUAUAUCAAUACAAUGACGUAACGGUAAUAAACUGCCAAUUUUUUCUAUAAAAAGGACUUGGGCGCGUAUUAUCACAUAUACAAUUUAAUUGCAGUGUUCUAUGAUAUCAAUUCAAUUGCAGUGUUCUGUGAUAUCAUGAUAUCAUUUCCCUCCCAUUAUAUAUUGCUAAGUUCCGUUGUUGUAUUCUUCCGUUGCAGCAUAUUUCUUCCCGACUUCCUGUUGCACUCUGCAAGUUGAGUAAAUAAGGUUUAUUUUAAUCUUUUUUCAAUUUAUUUCAUGCAUGCAUCAUUAGUCAGUUCGGUACAUAACAUAUCGUUUGGUUCGAUGAAUUCUUAAUUUUGUAAUGCUACUAAUUAAGAAUUGAAAUCCAUUUUAUCUUGGGAAGCAAUUAUUCAAUUAACCCUUAGCAUCUGUGGGGGAAUAAAUUUGCUUUAAGGAGACUUUGUGAAUUCAAAGGACUCGGAUUUAUAUUUUUUAUUUUACACAUUAUUUCUGUUUUGCAUAAUUUAUUAUUAUUAUAUUCAUAUGCAUUAUUAAAUAAUAAUAUGUAUUACAGAUAACAUUUCUUACCACCAACAAACACUGAGGGAAAUUUGAGAGGACGGAUCAAGUGAUGGAAUAAGAGAAGCCCCUUGUAGAGGAAUCAGGAUCAUCACUCACGUGACCACCUGAAGAGCAGGAGGCAGCCUCACAGACUAGGAGAUAAGAAGUCACCAAAGUGAACAGAGGACUCUGCCGCAGAGUAUUUUCUGAAAAUAGCCUUAAAAAACUCAAAUUUCCAUCACUAAUUUCUUUUUUCUUUAGCAAUUGAUCUCAUGAAACACAUUACAUCCAUAAUUACCGAGUCUUUAUUCAAUUAUACUACUCACCCUUCCAACUAAAUUCAGUUUGCUCACCUGCUCUGUGGAUCUAUGGCUACAGAGGUACUUGGUUAUUUCCUUUGUUCCUAAACUCGUUACAGAGAGGGAGCUGAUAUAAAUAAUCCCCUAUUUCCAUGGCGGCUGAUGAUGUUUGCAGUUAAAUGGGCAAGGCUCCCAUCCACCAUCCGUUUCUUUGCGUUUUCCUUCAACGCCAAAACUAGAAGUCGGUUGUGAGUUACCCCUCAUAUGUUCAUCUAUUGAUCUGCCUUGACUAGAGUUAAAUAGCUGCCUCAAACCCCCAGUAUCCCUGUUUCCCCGUCCAGAUUGAGAAAAGGCAGGCGGAAGAGCUGAUGAUGCAGAGACCAAAAUUUGAGAGAAUUUGUGUCAUAGAUCUGAGACUUCUA
rnacentral:lncRNA from 1 species